AAUGCGUAGCGUUCAUUGCAGUUACAUCUUCUCAGAACAUCGAGCGCAGAGGUUCGAUUAUGGCUCAGAUUGAACGCUGGCAGGAUGCUUUACACAUGCAAGUCGAACGGCAGCACGGACUUCGGUCUGGUGGCGAGUAUUAGCGAACGGGUGAGUAAUGUAUCGGAACGUGCCUAGUAGCGGGGGAUAACUUCAUAAAAGCGUAGCUAAUACCGCAUACGCCCUUCGAGGAAAGCGGGGGACAUUCGGGCCUCGCACGCAGCAAACGGCGAUAUGGUUAAGCUGGAUUGGUGGGGUAACGGCUCGCAAGGCGACGAUCCGUGGCGCUGGUUUGAAGAGGACGACCAGCCACACUGGGACAGAGACACGGCCCAGACUCCUACGGGAGGCAGCAGUGGGGAAUUUUGGACAAUGGGGAAACCUGAUCCGGCCAUCCGCGUGUGCGAUGAAGGCCCCUUCAGGUUGCUAAAGCUUUGGCGGAAAGAAACGGCACGGGAUAUGCCCGUUACAGCGGCAGUACCUGCAGAAUAAGCAUAAUGCUACGUGCUCUGUACCGGUAAUACGUAGGGUGCAAGCGUUAAUCGGAAUUACUGGGCGUAAAGCGUGCGCAGGCGGUUCGGAAAAGAAAGAUGUGAAAUCCCAGAGCUUAACUUUGGAACUGCAUUUUAACUACCGAGCUAGAGUGUGUCAGAGGAGGGUAAAUUCCGCGUGUAGCAGUGAAAUGCAUGGAAUAUGCGGAGGAACACCGAUGGCGAAGGCAACCUCCUGGGAUAACACUGACGCUCAUGCACGAAAGCGUGGGAGCAAACGGGAUUAGAUACCUGGUAGUCCACGCCUAAACAAUCAUCAACUAGCUGUUGGGGCCUUCGAUGCCAUUAGCCCGCAGCUAACGCUGCAUCGGGUAACCGCCUAGGGAAGUACGGUCGCAAAGAUUAAAAACUCAAAGGAAUUGACAGGGACCCGCCUGACGGUGGAUGAUGUAGUUAAUUCGAUGCAACGCGAAAAACCUUACCUACCCUUGACAUGUCUGGAAUCCCGAAGAGAUUUGGGAGUGCUCGCAAGAGAACCGGAACACAGAUGCAUGGCUGUCGUCAGCUCGUGUCGUGAGAUGUUGGGUUAAGUCCCGCAACGAGCGCAACCCUUGUCAUUAGUUGCUACGAAGGGCACUCGCGAGACUGCCGGUGACAAACCGGAGGAAGGUGGGGAUGACGUCAAGUCCUCAUGGCCCUUAUGGGUAGGGCUUCACACGUCAUACAAUGGUCGGGACAGAAGGUCGCCAACCCGCGAGAGGCCAAUCCCGAAACCCGAUCGUAGUCCGGAUCGCAGUCUGCAACUCGACUGCGUGAAGUCGGAAUCCCGCUAGUAAUCGCGGAUGCUGCUGUCCGCCCACGGUGAAUACAUUCCCAGGUCUUGUACACCGCCCGUCACACCAUGGGAGUGGGUUUUACAGAAGUAGUUAGCCUAACCGUAAGGAGGGGCGAUUACCACGGUAGGAUUCAUGACUGGGGUGAAGUCGUAACAAGGUAA
rnacentral:rRNA from 1 species